rnacentral:rRNA from 1 species
UACGUAGGGUGCAAGCGUUUAAUCGGAAUUACUGGGCGUAAAGCGUGCGCAGGCGGUUUUGUAAGUCAGAUGUGAAAAUCCCCGGGCUUAACCUGGGAACUGCGUUUGAAACUACAAGGCUAGAGUGUGGCAGAGGGGGGUGGAAUUCCACGUGUAGCAGUGAAAUGCGUAGAGAUGUGGAGGAACACCGAUGGCGAAGGCAGCCCCCUGGGUUAACACUGACGCUCAGGCACGAAAGCGUGGGGAGCAAACAGG